rnacentral:rRNA from 1 species
AUUGGUGCUUGCAUCAUGAUUUACAUUUGAGUGAGUGGUGAACUGGUGAGUAACACGUGGGAAACCUGCCCAGAAGCGGGGGAUAACACCUGGAAACAGAUGCUAAUACCGCAUAACAACUUGGACCGCAUGGCCCGAGCUUGAAAGAUGGCUUCGGCUAUCACUUUUGGAUGGUCCCGCGGCGUAUUAGCUAGAUGGUGGGGUAACGGCUCACCAUGGCAAUGAUACGUAGCCGACCUGAGAGGGUAAUCGGCCACAUUGGGACUGAGACACGGCCCAAACUCCUACGGGAGGCAGCAGUAGGGAAUCUUCCACAAUGGACGAAAGUCUGAUGGAGCAACGCCGCGUGAGUGAAGAAGGGUUUCGGCUCGUAAAACUCUGUUGUUAAAGAAGAACAUAUCUGAGAGUAACUGUUCAGGUAUUGACGGUAUUUAACCAGAAAGCCACGGCUAACUACGUGCCAGCAGCCGCGGUAAUACGUAGGUGGCAAGCGUUGUCCGGAUUUAUUGGGCGUAAAGCGAGCGCAGGCGGUUUUUUAAGUCUGAUGUGAAAGCCUUCGGCUCACCCGAAGAAGUGCAUCGGAACUGGGAAACUUGAGUGCAGAAGAGGACAGUGCAACUCCAUGUGUAGCGAUGACAUGCGUAGAUAUAUGGAAGAACACCAG